rnacentral:lncRNA from 1 species
CAAUCUGAAUAUUGCGAAUAUGGAUGAAGUAUUGAUAGAAGUGGGGUUUCAUAUGCGGUCUUAGUCUGGUCGUUGGACACAAAUGAAGUACACAAAGUUGCAGCGAUGGCUAACUUCUAACUAAAUAAAACCCAAGUCUAAAUGAUGCCUUAAGGGCUGUAUUUAUAGGGAAAAGAGAGGGGAUUUCGUCCACCCUUGGCAAGGUGGAACUAAAACACCUCCUAAGUCGUUUCCCCUACAAUAUGGACUCUAAAAAUAGAUUACAUGGGCCUGGCCCAAAAUAAGGUGGCGCAACACCAAUAAUAAGCUAUGGACGAAAUUUAUGAAAGGCCAUCUUGUAUAUUUUGUCCAUCUUCUUGUAUGUCAUCAUGGUGGCUUCAAAGUCCGGAAGUCUCCACUUGAACCUCCGUUCUUGUUCUCUUCGCACGCACCUUCAUCUUCGUGCUUGACCAUGCUCCAAUGUUCAUCCUUCUUGUCCCUGCUAGGCCCUUCAAUUGCAAGCAACACAAAUGUAUCUAAGUUAGGCAGCAUCCUAUUCUCAUGAACACUAGAAACAUUACCAAGAAACAAAAGUACAUGAUAGUUUAAUUGGCUUAUAUGAGCUCUAGCAAUUGUUCCAAGUGGUAAAACAAUAUGGGAUAACCUUCAAAGCAUGGGUGCUCCCAUCCUUUGACUCGAACGUUUCUUUGAUCAAGGUGGUUGUAGUGGCCUUUGACAGAGAAGGUUCGAUAGGGGGCUAGUCCUUUUCCAUAAUUUUGAGCCCGACAAGCCUAGUCCCGCCGUAACAAAUGGAAGGCACCGGCAGGAUUGCUUAUCGGAGAAAACGUGUUUACUUAAACAUAUAGAGGCAUUCCACCUCUGCAUGGACGUGAUACAUGCACAAGUACCCGGCAAGGCUUGUACUUUAUCAUUAAUAUGCGGAUAAACAAGUACAAAUCUAACAGAAGGCAAACAUGGAUAAAGAAGAUUACAUAUUUCAAACUAAAGUUCGGCAAGUGCAUACAUAUUUUAGACUGAAAAAGAUAAGUGUCCUGUAAUCCCUUUCUUGUCCCUCUCCUCCUAGGAACUACAGUGGGAGGCGAAGAGGGAAAAAGGGGUGCCUAGGCAGAAGCCCGGCCUGACCCCAUCGGAGCUCGCCAGGAGCAGCCUGACAAGUUCAGGAGUGGUGAGGCAGCGAAGAGGGAGAUGGCGAGGGCGGCUAGGUGGUGCCCUCGUCACCGCCACGAGGACCAGCGGGGUGCGCUGGCACAAAUACCGGCAGGGGGAUCCUGUCAGGCCUUGGUUGGAAGACUACUAGAUGAGGUGAAGGCACCAAAAGAGCAUCCCCUCCCCAGCAACCGCCCGAAGAAGCUGAUGAUGAUGGUGCCUUGGAGGGAGGGGGAGAGCAGGAAGAUGGGGCAGCAGGCCGGCAGUACGAGACGAAAGGCGUCGGUGCCAUCGCACCCUGACCUGACAGCCUGCCACCCACCUUCCUCGUCCCUGCCUAUUCUUUCCUCGUCACCGUCGCUCCGGGAGAAUGCCAAGCCCUUCGCCCGUCACCUCCCCCGAAGAGGCGGCUAGUGGAGGCGAUGCCCAAGGCACGUGGGGAGCACCACUCCCCACCUUGGCGGGCAGGAGGGCACCACUAUCUUCAGUGUCAUUCCCAACAUGGCCGACGAGAGCGGUGUUGGGAUUACUGUAGAUCACGAGCACGUUCCCACGGGCGGACGCCAGAAGCUCUGAGGACGCCGUCGAUGGAUUGACAAGCUCCGACAGCCUGCGGCAGGGGAAAUGCCACUUCCCCAAACGAUGGGCUUGUGUGGGAAGGCAGGUGCCCCACCAUCAUGAAGAAGCGCAGCACACUGAGCAUUGGGGGCGGUGUGGCGUUCGCCGACACAACUCCGUGGACCACGACUGCCCCUACUAUGAUCGUCGCGCCUCCCACAACCCUUGACUAGGCUCACUCCCUGAGCAGCGACACUAGUCCCCGGAGUCAUCACCCUCAAAGUAAGGGGCCGAAGCCUUUUGGCAUAAUGAAGGAAGAGGCAGGGAAAAAGAAGGCAAAAAUGCAUGGAUGGAUGCCUCCAUUUCCCCUAGUGCUCCCUUUUAAUAGGCGAGCCGGGGCUGGGGGCUGAUCCUCCACCUACUCCAGAGGGCUCCCUUGAAUUCGACCCGUACACGCCGUGGAUGGCGGCCAAAGCCCAUCGACCGCCCUCCUACACCAAUCCAAGAAGGUUCAAGUCUUUGUCGUGGCACUCCUUCCCGCACAACACGCCUUUGUUACCUACCCCACUCGAUGCAUGCGACAUACGUCGCAAAGGAUAAGGGCGCAGUGGGAUGAGUGAAUUGGUAGUUGCUCCCCCAUGAGUUAAAGUCAUUCAUGGGCCAUUGCAGAGAUGGCCCCACCAUGUUUUGGCACCGCGCAGCGUGCGGAAAGGCAGGAGACUAACUCCAUCCUAGGUUAAUGAAGAAGCAAGGAAAAUCUCAAGGAACAAGCUACCACAAGCCCUCUGCUUGUGUACCUGAUAGAGCCUACCCCGACGACGCCCGACAGCAUGUUCGGGCCAGGCCCGGGGGCUCCUGUCAGUGCAACAAACCCUAGUGCAUGUUGCCCAGACUGUACAUAGGCUCAAGGGCAAGGUUUUAGCGACAAGACAAGACCAAAUUGGAGAGAUAGCUCUUUGAGAAAUCAAAGGGCGGAUCAACAAGACCAAGACAAGUCGAAGGAACAAGAUAUCACUAAGGGAAAAGCCUUCCUUACCGUGGGGCGAGCCUAGUCGGGUCGAGGUCACCCAAGGGCAAGUCCUAGGAUCUCCCCGUCAAGGGUUGUCGGGGCGCCGAUGGCCUACUUCCACGCCAAGGAUCCACUGCUCCAC